CUCGGCACCGGCCAGACCGCCUUCGGGUGGGUCUCAGGGCCAUAGACAGCCUUCGGGUGGGUCUCUUCAGAUUCGACUUGAGCAUUCGUUAUGACAUGUGGACAGAUGAUGAUUUAGAGUAUUGUUUGGACAUUGACUAGAAUAGUAAACAAUAGAACUUUACUAUUUCGCAUUGUGAACAUUAUGAUAGUUGGGGACUUUUACUUCAUGUAUGGUUGUUUCAUACUGAUGCUAUUUAGGCUAAGUAGAGAUAUCAUGUUGUAGUAAGUUACAUUUUACUUACCUUUCGCUUUCCUACAUUUAUAGUCACUAACCUCUUUUGUAGCUUUGGGCCUUGUGGUGCAUUCACUGAAGUCAGUAAUUGCCCACUGGGAACUAUUUUUGAUAGUUCUCACGCCCCUGUUUCUAUGUUUCCUUUUCAGAGCCUUCGGCACCGGCGGAGGCACGGGAUCGCGGCAAGGGGAUCGCGUAGCUAGCUAGCGAGGAGCUUACUUGCCUAGGUGGUUUACUCUUUCUUUUGUAGUUGAGAGAGUGAGAGUUUUUGUACCCUGUAUAGAGACCACCUAUGUAUCUACUCAUAGUACUUGUCUUUGGGAUUUCCUAUUGUAUUUACUUUAUGUUUUAUUUAGUGGACUUACAGUUUGAACUUUAUCCCUUGUUGUUAGCAAUUAGACAUUUUCUAUGCUCUGAUACUCCUAGAUGUCUUUUAUUAUUGCUCUUAUCAUCGUUGUUUUUAGACGCCUUAUAUGUUGUAGACAUAUGGCGGGUCUGGGCACGCGCCGGGCGGGCUUUCGUUGGGUCCCGGGGCGUGACACCUACGGGGUCGAGUGGGACAGACACAUUCCAAGAGUAGGGAUGUUGGGCUACCACAGGCACUUAGGCGGCACAAGCUGGACUACCUUGGGUAGGUCCCUAAUUGGAAAUAAAAAUCGACACGGUUUGAGAAUGAACAAUCACUACAAGACAGUUUGGUAGUUGGAUUACAUUUACAUGCAUAUAGCCUAGGGUUGAGACAUGUAGUAUACUUGACAGUUACCUAUUUCAUCACGGUAUACUUGGUUGCCAUGAUAGAGCUUAUACUUCAUGUAUGAAUAAAGGGUUGUAACAGUAAACUAUUGCCAUUGGUUACUUUUCCUUAUGAUAGAAUAGGUGUACAACAUUCGACAUCUUGCUUAUGAGGAAUAUAGUAGUAUAGCAUUCUACUUAUGCAUUCUCUUUCAGUAGUCAUUUACAUACUCCUUUUUAUUGCUUAUGGCUAUUAGCAUUACUUACCCUUGUUUUGGGGCCUAGUGGAGCAGGAGUUGAGGUCAGUAAUUGCCCACUGGGAACUAU
rnacentral:lncRNA from 1 species